UACGUAGGGUGCAAGCGUUGUCCGGAAUUAUUGGGCGUAAAGAGCUCGUAGGCGGUCUGUCGCGUCUGCUGUGAAAACUCGGGGCUUAACCCCGGGCCUGCAGUGGGUACGGGCAGACUAGAGUGCGGUAGGGGAGACUGGAAUUCCGUGGUGUAGCGGUGAAAUGCGCAGAUAUCAGGAGGAACACCGGUGGCGAAGGCGGGUCUCUGGGCCGUAACUGACGCUGAGGAGCGAAAGCAUGGGGAGCGAACAGG
rnacentral:rRNA from 1 species